rnacentral:rRNA from 1 species
AGUCGAGCGGAUGAAGAGAGCUUGCUCUCUGAUUCAGCGGCGGACGGGUGAGUAAUGCCUAGGAAUCUGCCUGGUAGUGGGGGACAACGUCUCGAAAGGGACGCUAAUACCGCAUACGUCCUACGGGAGAAAGCAGGGGACCUUCGGGCCUUGCGCUAUCAGAUGAGCCUAGGUCGGAUUAGCUAGUUGGUGAGGUAAUGGCUCACCAAGGCGACGAUCCGUAACUGGUCUGAGAGGAUGAUCAGUCACACUGGAACUGAGACACGGUCCAGACUCCUACGGGAGGCAGCAGUGGGGAAUAUUGGACAAUGGGCGAAAGCCUGAUCCAGCCAUGCCGCGUGUGUGAAGAAGGUCUUCGGAUUGUAAAGCACUUUAAGUUGGGAGGAAGGGCAGUAAAUUAAUACUCUGCUGUUUUGACGUUACCGACAGAAUAAGCACCGGCUAACUCUGUGCCAGCAGCCGCGGUAAUACAGAGGGUGCAAGCGUUAAUCGGAAUUACUGGGCGUAAAGCGCGCGUAGGUGGUUUGUUAAGUUGGAUGUGAAAGCCCCGGGCUCAACCUGGGAACUGCAUUCAAAACUGACAAGCUAGAGUAUGGUAGAGGGUGGUGGAAUUUCCUGUGUAGCGGUGAAAUGCGUAGAUAUAGGAAGGAACACCANNGGCGAAGGCGACCACCUGGACUGAUACUGACACUGAGGUGCGAAAGCGUGGGGAGC